rnacentral:rRNA from 1 species
UACGUAGGGACCAAGCGUUGUUCGGAUUUACUGGGCGUAAAGGGCGCGUAGGCGGUGCGGUAAGUCACUUGUGAAAUCUCCGAGCUUAACUCGGAACGGCCAAGUGAUACUGCAGUACUAGAGUGCGGAAGGGGCAAUCGGAAUUCUUGGUGUAGCGGUGAAAUGCGUAGAUAUCUGGAGGAACACCGGUGGCGAAGGCGGCAUCCUGGACCGGCAUUGACGCUGAGGCGCGAACGCCAGGGGAGCAAACGGG